GCCGAAGUGGCGGAAUUGGCAGACGCGCUAGGUUCAGGUCCUAGUGAGGGAAACCUCUUGUGGGUUCAACUCCCACCUUCGGUA
rnacentral:tRNA from 1 species